rnacentral:rRNA from 1 species
GACGAACGCUGGCGGCGUGCUUAACACAUGCAAGUCGAACGGUAAGGCCCUUCGGGGUACACGAGUGGCGAACGGGUGAGUAACACGUGGGUGAUCUGCCCUGCACUUCGGGAUAAGCCUGGGAAACUGGGUCUAAUACCGGAUAGGACUCCUGGCUUCAUGGUUGGGGGUGGAAAGCUUUUGCGGUGUGGGAUGGGCCCGCGGCCUAUCAGCUUGUUGGUGGGGUAAUGGCCUACCAAGGCGACGACGGGUAGCCGGCCUGAGAGGGGGACCGGUCACACUGGGACUGGGAUACGGCCCAGACCCCUACGGCAGGCAGGGGUGGGGAAUAUUGGACAAGGGGCGCAAGCCUGAUGCAGCGCCGCCGCGUGAGGGAUGACGGCCUUCGGGUUGUAAACCUCUUUCAGCUAUGACGAAGCGCAAGUGACGGUAGUAGCAGAAGAAGGACCGGCCAACUACGUGCCAGCCGCCGCCGUAA